rnacentral:rRNA from 1 species
CCUACGGGAGGCAGCAGUAGGGAAUAUUGGGCAAUGGGCGGAAGCCUGACCCAGCCAUGCCGCGUGCAGGAAGAAGGCGUUAUGCGUUGUAAACUGCUUUUUUAUAGGAAGAAGGAUCCCUUGCGAGGGAAGGUGACGGUACUAUAAGAAUAAGCACCGGCUAACUCCGUGCCAGCAGCCGCGGUAAUACGGAGGGUGCAAGCGUUGUCCGGAUUUAUUGGGUUUAAAGGGUGCGUAGGCGGUUUAUUAAGUCAGUGGUGAAAGACGGUCGCUCAACGAUUGCAGUGCCAUUGAUACUGGUAGACUUGAGUGAGAUUGAGGUAGCUGGAAUGGAUAGUGUAGCGGUGAAAUGCAUAGAUAUUAUCCAGAACACCGAUUGCGAAGGCAGGUUACUAAGUCUUAACUGACGCUGAGGCACGAAAGUGUGGGGAUCAAACAGGAUUAGAUACCCUGGUAGUCCACACUGUAAACGAUGAUGACUAACUGUUGGCUUUCGGGUCAGUGGUACAGAGAAAUCGUUAAGUCAUCCACCUGGGGAGUACGCCGGCAACGGUGAAACUCAAAAUGAAUUGACGG